AUGUCCUUUCCUAAGCAUGACAGGCAAAAUAGCAAGUUGAAUUAUAGUAUAAUGCAAUCUUAUUAUCUUUUUCACCUUCUGCUAUCCCUAUUUGGGGCAAAGGCGAAAAAAGAAAAUAAGACCUCCCAACAUUGCCGUGCUUCCUCAUGUAGUUGUCCAUUAUUCACAAUCUCACUUGUGGGUCGGACACAUGACCUUGUUUUUAUGUUUUUGGAUUUAUGGGUAGGAAAAUGA